AAAACACUGCCACCGGGUAGUAAGAUGCUUAGCAUUCGGUACACAUCGUUAGGUCUUUGAAGAUGUGUAUGCGGGUGCUUGUUUUUUU
rnacentral:ncRNA from 1 species